UCAUCAUUCGAGUUGUUAACCUUCUCAAUCAACUCCUUCAAAUGACCCGGCAUGACUCUUAACAUACUGUCUGUCGACUUGAGUAAAUCUUUUCGAUCCUCCCCUGGACCCAGUCCAUCUGGGAUCGAGGCUAGCCCUAUCCGACUCUGAGCCUCAUCCUCAUCUGGCAGUGCAGCCACCAGUUUUUCAUGUAUGAAGUCUGAGUUAACAAAGGUGACCUUGAUCCCAUGAUCAGAAAUCUGGUACGCAAACUUCAUAAGGGGAGUAACAUGUCCUUGUGCUGGGCAUGGAAUAAUCAGCACAUGAGGUCGGCCCAUGGUUGCUGCCAGCACUUCUGCUUCCUCUGAUCCCAAGUUUCAGGAUUAAUACUGCUUCUCUUUAUUAGCCUGAGCCCUCUAUUGUGUGAAUCGUAUACCUAUUUGCUAAAAUUUUAGCUGCAGCCCAUCUCCCAUUUAUGAAUUUCAUUCAUUAUCUGAAAGAUAUGGUGUUGUUGCUUUUAUCUCCUAUCUAUUCUGUCUUUAUCAAGUGUCUUGUGUAAUGGCCCAAACCCAAGGGUAAAAUCAUAAUUUAGAAAUUAUUAAUUAAUUAAAGUAAUUUAAUAAGGGUAAAAAGGUAUUUUCGUAUUAAAAACCCCUAUAUAUAAAUUAUAUCUUUCCUAUAUUCUCAAUUUAGAAAACUCUCUUACACAGAGAUCAAAAAGAUCAGAGAGCAUAGGGUUGAAGGUUUGAAAGUUUAGGGUUUGAAGAUCAAUUUUUAGGUACUUUCAAUUCGGGUGAAGAGUGAUGGCUAGGCUUGAGAAUUUUUCUUAGGAUUUUGGUUCAAAUUUUAUUUUGGACAUUGUUUAGAUGUCAAAAUUUAUUUUUUCGUUUAAAUUAUUUAAAUUUGGAGUUAUUUGGACAAUAACACUUUGAUUGAUGUGUUAAUUUUUUAAAAGUUGAUACUUGGAGAUUUUAGAAUUUUGUCCUAUUACUCUAAAUAAGAAUUUGGUAAUUGGUAAAUUUUCAAUUACAAUACGAAAGUUUGUGUCGUUUUCACUUUGAGCCUUUGGGUUUGAGGUGUGAAAUGACUGUCAUGCCUUUCGAGUGGGUUUUGGGGCGUGACAUCUUGUGUGUCUCUCCCGUUACUUUGGUGUAAUUUUAAAGCUAUAUAGCCUAUAUUGCACUGAUAAACUUUUGGUUUCUACAUUACACACUCCAUAUAUGCAUUAAACUUUUUGUUAGUGCAGCCAUUGGAUUGUAGUCAUUUUUUCUACUUGGUUUUUCCACCAAGUUAUUGAUACCCUAUGGAUUUAUUCUCAAGUGCUUCAAGGUAUAUUAUCUGAAGUUACCAUUGGUUGUUUGCUUUGUCUUUUAUCUAGAACCUCAUAUGUAGCUAGCCUCUUUUUGUUGUUGCAUGAUUGGUUUGAGCUCUUCCUUCUUAUCCCAUGUGUUUGUUGACCAAGCUUGUAUUGAUGUUGAACCUGAUUGAUGCUACUAGCAAGGGAAAUGAAAUUGAAAUAUAUAUUCUUUCUCAAUGUUUUAAAUAAAAAUUAUGUUUCAUUCAAAUAUUUCAAUUUAAAAAAUCAAAAUUUUCUUGUCUUAAACAAUAUUCAUUAUCAAAAUAUUUAAAAUUUUGUUAUAUUAUAUUAUUUAAUAUAUGAAAAUAAUUUAUAUAUAUAUGUGUGUGUCCUAUAUGUUAACUUAGGAUUUAACAUAUUCUAUAUGGAAGAUAUAUAAAAAAGAGAUCAAACAAUAUAUCACAAUACUUAUCCUAUAUCAUAUUUGGUUGAACAUAAGAAAAGAUAAAUUAUAAAAUAACUUAUCCUAUCCUAUUACUAAUUAAAUAUGGGAUAAGAUAUAUUAUCUUAUUUUUUAUCUUAUCUCAUACUAUAUCUAAUUAAUUAAAUAUAGUCCAAAUAUAAAUUGUUUUGUGGGUGAUUCUAAUCAUCUUGAUCAUAAAAACUACCAAAAAGGUCGUGACAAAAAGAAAGAAGAUUCAUAGGCUUAUCCAAUAACAAGUAUUAAUAUUCAUUUUCAUAGAGACGUGUUCAAAUCAUCUAAGGCCAAAUUAGAGAUAAAUAAAUAUUGUAAAUUUUGUCAUAAUUAAUUGAAUACAUUUUUUUUUCUAUAAUAAUAAAAUGAGUUCAUUGAAUAGAGAAACAAAAACAAACAUGUUUCCAAUGAACCUAUGCUCAAAUCUUUCCAAAAUUUAAAAUAUAGAAUAUAUUAAAAUGCUAUGGUCUCUUCUCUGCACUCCACUACAUGAUAUAUUUUCAUUUAUUUAUUUAUUUGGAUAAACUUGCUUGAUCCAACUCAUUUACAUCUUUGAUUCAAAUGUGGGAGUCGGUCAGGGCCCCGGAGGGGCACAUGCCCCCCUUAAAAAAAUAAAAUCAUAAUAAUUUAAGCCAUUGACUUACUAUUUGAGGAGAAAACAUGCUUUUCAAUGCACUAUAUAUCAUAAUUUUUUAUAAUAUGAACAAUAUAAAAAAAUAAAAGAUUGUGAUGUAUUCAAGUAUUGAAAUACCACUAGAAACCAAGGUUUAAAUUUGAGUUUUGGACUUUGAAAUUUAUGAAAAUGGGGUCAAGCAGAAGAAAGAUUUUUGGUAGCCAACCAAGGCAGAAUCAGUUUCUUUGGCUGCUUCAUCUUUCAUUUAUUUCCUUUUCCCAUUAAAUUAUUAUUAAUUAUCUAACAACUUAUGUUGAAUAAUGAAGGGCUGCCCCCACUCUUAAUUACAAUACAAAAUUGGUAGUUGUUUUUAAAUAUUUAGCAUAUAUCACUCUCAAAUGCUUCUACAUAAUAAUAUCACCUUAAUAAUAUCACUCUCAAAUGCUUCUACAUAAUUCCCAAAUACUUUAGCAUAUAUUCUAGCUAGGGAAGUGAUCUCUAGUUUUUUUUUUGUCCUUUAUGGAAGGUCUUAUGCAGCCAACCUCGUUUUCUAGUUGUAUGGCUUUUAGUUCUUGGUUCUUUUCCCAUGUAUUGGUCUUUUUCUCAAUCUUAUAUGCCUUCAAACGAUCCCAUUUUCCUCUGGGUUCAGCCCUAAACCCACCUUUAUACAUCACAGAUACGGAAGUGGACGCCAAGGUAAGGACAAACCUUCACCAUUCGGUUCCAAGCAGAGUGGAUUAAGAAACCAGCAAGGACAAACCCUUGGCUUUGAUUCACUCAGCCGGUGGCAGAGCCAAUAAUUUUUCUUAGAACAAGCAUUACAAUAACCCUGGAUGAAUUUUAGAAAUUGCUGAAAAUGAGUAACUUUAGACUUUAGUCAUGAAUAAAUAUAACAUAUCAAAUUAAAAAUUAAAAAUAGAUUUUAUUAACUUACUAGUUAAAAAUUGAAAUUUAAAAAGAAAAUCUUCAAAAAAGUUAAAAAAUGGGAAGAAAAUAAGAAAUCUUACUAGUUAUUUCUCAAUAAUUUUAAUAAUCUCUUCCUAGUAAAAAGGAUCUUUAAAAAAUUUAUUUUUUUUCCAAAUAGCUACAUACAAAUGAGUUGGAAGUAAUAAAAUAUUUUAUUAAUAAUUUCCUAUGAUAUAGUAAUUAUCGUUAAAAUUCCAAGUAAAAUAUAAAUAGUUAGUUAGAGUUUGAUAUUUAUUAUUAUGUAUUAAGGUACCCUAUUCUAACAAAAUUCUAGAGCACCCAAGAGGUAUUGUUUGGAAGAUUUACUAGUAAUCAUUGGAUUUUUUAUUUCAAUCUUCAUAAAGUAAUAGCAAGAACCAAAACUAAUUAAAAGAACUUGAUUAUAAGGUUUUGGUUAACAAUUUUUUUUCCAAAUAUUAUGAGGUCUACGCUAUAUAUUUUUUGAGAUUUACAUUGACCUUUGAAGAUUUGAGAUUAUCAUGAAAUCACAUUUAAAACCAUUCAAGUACAAUUGAAUUUGUUUGGGUGAAUAAUAACAUUAGAGGAUGUACUUCGAGUUUAUUGUAUGAUGAAACUCUUUUGAGCGGAAAAAAAAAACCAAUUUUGCACAUGAGUGCAUGCUUGAGACUAUUUCUGUAUAUAUUUGUCAUUUUUUAUUUGUGUUAUUGGUUGAGCUUACCAAGGUUUUCAAAGUAUAAAUAUACCUUAUUUUGUCAAAUAUUUUAAAUACAUACCAGAACAAUAUUAUCAUUAUUUCCUACACAUUUCCAUCACUUUCAAGAAUAUCAUUCUUGACACAAAUUUGUGCAUGGUGGUUAAUUAUACAUCCUAUCAAGGCAUUGAGGAGUUUACAAAAGAACAUAAUGUGUUGUAUAUAUAGAGGUGAAGACAUAUGUAAGUGCCAGCCCCUGACCUAGGAAAAUAGAAUGUUUGUUUCAUAUAAAUUUAUGUAUUUGCUCUUUCGUAUUUAAUGAAUUUACUUUGUUAGUGUCAAAUUGGGUCUGUGUUUGAUAUUUGUCGAGUUUUUAGUAGAAUGUAUGAGUGAUAUAUUUAUAGAGCUUAUAGUAAACUCUAUGGGUGAUUUUCUAUGUCUAAUACAUAUCUUUUGUGCGAUUGGAAAUCAUGCAUGUUAAUAUCAAAAUAUCUCAUAUUAAUUCAAGAAAUAUUUUUUGUGAAAAAAUUGAACUUUAAAACAUAAAAUCAUUAUUACAUAUUCACCCUCCAUAAAUAUCGGGAAUCAAGAUUCAUACUUUCAAUGGGUAUCAAAGCAUAUUGAAUUUAAAAAAUUAAAAUCUUUUAUUCCUACACAAUCUUGAUUCACGGAACCACAAGGACCAGAUCAUCAAUGAAAUUUUAUCAUUGCUUUAGUACUCGACAAUUUCUGUGGGUAGGAAUACAACUUGAGUAGGUUGGGUUGGGUUGGGUUGAUGGCGAUUUAACACAUUUGGGUUGGGUAGGAAAAUGUCUUCAUUGUUUCAGUGCUUCAACAAAGGUUUGGAAAUUCUUGUAAGAAGAUCCACCUUCAAUCACACUUUUUCUAGCCAUUUCCUUCAACUUCUCUGCAUUUGCUUUUAUACCAUCAUCAGAAACCAACUUUUCGAUCUUCUUCUUAAUCUCAUGCCUUGAUAUGAAUCCAUUUUCAUCUGGGUUCAACCCCAAGCCCACCUUCCAUUUGUCGCAUAUGUAACUCUGAUUAUGGAAUUGAUCUGCAAAGUAGGGCCAGCAUAGGAAGGGGACUCCCAUGCCUAUGGCGUCCAUGGUUGAGUUCCAUCCACAAUGGGAUAAGAAACAGGCAACAGAAGGGUGAGCUAACACCUUUUCUUGGGGUGCCCAUGAAACAAUCUUUCCAUUCUCAGCAACUCUCUCUAUGAAAUCAGGGUAUUCAGCAACUGAUCCAUCGGCGAAGUCUGAUCGGACAACCCAUAAAAAUGGCCGGCCUACAAGUUCGAGACCAAGUGCUAGUUCAUUGAAUUGGCGCUGGUUGAAGAUUGCUAAGCUGCCAAAGGCAACAUAAAUGACUGAGCCAGCAGGUUGUUUAUCGAGCCAGCCUAUGCAGGUCGAAUCCUCAUGCCAAAAGUUUCCAGCAUAAUGACCCAGAUGAUGACUUGCAAGCAAUGGACCUAUUGAUAAUAUGUUAGGAAUCAACUCACAGGCAGAUGAGUCAAGUUCGUAAACAGAGUUGCUAAGAAGCCAAUUGGAAAGAUUCAUAACUUGGAUGGCUUUGAAAGCAAGUCGGAAACAGAUCUCUUGUAAAGUUGGAUCAGUUGGGCAGCUCCAGGGCAAUCUGUUGCUGAUAAAGGCUGGGAUAUCCUUUGCCAGGCAGAUAAACUCGUGGUUCAGAAGAGAUCCUGCAAAGAUGUUUCAAUUUUAAUUGAAUUUUCAGGGGCUAUUAGCUUUAGUCUCUUAACUUGUUUUCAAUUACUAGAAAUCUUCAUGUUUCAUCAAUUUGGUAUAAGCAACAGAUUUAAUUUUAGAAAUAUGAUAUGUGCAAGUUUAAGUGUUAAUACCAUCAGUAGUAUUUAGAAGUCCGGCCUCAAUAAGCCUUGGAAUGUGAAAUGCCAAAGCCAAGCUUCCUGGUCCAAAGGGGCAAAACGCGACCCUCUUGAUCCCCAUCUUGUCGGCAACCUCUAGCGCCCACCCAAAUGCUGAAUCAGCAAUAACACAAGUGAUCUUCUCAUCAUCAUUCGAGUUGUUAACCUUCUCAAUCAACUCCUUCAAAUGACCCGGCAUGACUCUUAAAAUACUGUCUGUCAGCUUGAGUGAAUCUUUUCGAUCCUCCCCUGGACCCAGUCCAUCUGGGAUCGAGGCUAGCCCUAUCCGACUCCGAGCCUCAUCCUCAUCUGGCAGUGCAGCCACCAGUUUUUCAUGUAUGAAGUCUGAGUUAACAAAGGUGACCUUGAUCCCGUGAUCAGAAAUCUGGUACGCAAACUUCAUAAAGGGAGUAACAUGUCCUUGUGCUGGGAAUGGAAUAAUCAGCACAUGAGGUCGGCCCAUGGUUGCUGCCAGCACUUCUGCUUCCUCUGAUCCCAAGUUUCAGGAUUAAUACUGCUUCUCUUUAUUAGCCUGAGCCCUCUAUUGUGUGAAUCGUAUACCUAUUUGCUAAAAUUUUAGCUGCAGCCCAUCUCCUAUUUAUGAGUUCCAUACGUCAUCUGAAAGAUAUGGUGUUGUGGCUCAAGUUCUUUGUCACUUUGGUUUUAUCUUCUAUCUAUUUUGUCUUGAUGAAGCAUCUUGUGUGGCUCUCCCGUCACUUUGGUGUAGCUUUGAACCUAUAUUGCACUGAUAAACUUUUGGUUUCUGCAUUACAAACUCCAUAUAUGCAAUAAACUUUUUGUUGGUGCAGUCAUUGGAUUGUAGCCAUUUUUCCUACUUGGUUUUUCCACCAAGUUGCUGAUACCCUAUGGAUUUAUUCUCAAGAGCUGCAAGGUAUAUUACGAGGAAGUUAUCAUCGGUUGUUUACUUUGUCUUUAACCUACAACCUCUUAUGUAUCUAGCCUCAUUUUGUUGUUGCAUGAAUGGUUUGAGCUCUUUGUUCAUAUCCCAUGCAUGUAUUUGUUAAACAAGCUUGUAUUGAUGUUGAGCCUGAUUGAUGCUAGAUUUGGACAAUGAAGGGAAAUGAAAAUUUGGACAUGCAAUGGCUAGAUUUCACCUUAAUAGUAUUCAAUUAAUGCUUCUAUAUAAACAGUACUCCAAAUGCUUUAGCAUAUAUUCUUGGGAAGUCAUCUCUAGUUUACUUUGUUCUUUAUGUAGGGCCUUAUGCAGCUAGUCUCUUUUUCUAGUUGCAUAUAUGGUUUUGAGCUCUUGGUUCCUUUCCCUUGUAUUGAUUUUUUUUUCUCUAUCUUAUACCUUCGAAUGAUCCCGUUUUCCUCUUAGUUCAGCCCUGCAUGCACCCACCUUUGUAAAUCACAGAUAUGGAAGUGGUCGCCAAAGUAAGGACAGACCUUCAUCAUUGAGUUUCCAAGCAGAGUGGAUUAAGAAACCAGCAAGGACAAACCCUUGGCAUUGAUUCACUCAGCCGGUGGCAGAGACAAGAAUUUUUCUAACUAGAACAGAAGCAUUACAAUAACCCUGGAUGAAUUUUAGAAAUUGGUGAAAACGAGUAAUUUUAGACUUUAGUUAUCAAUAAAUAUAAUAUAUCAAAUUAAAAAUUGAUUUUAGGAUCUUACCAAUUAAAAAUUGAAACUAAAAAGGAAAUUUUUCAAAAAAGUUAAAAAAUGGUAAUAAGAUACAAAAUGUUAUUAUUUUUUUUUCUCAAUAAUUUAAUAAUCUCUUUUAAGAAAAUUAUUUUUUACCCCAAAUGACUACAUAUAAAUGAGUUGGAAGUAAUGAGAUAUUUUAUUAAUAAUUUCUUAUGAUAUAGUAACUAUCAUUAAAAUUUCAAGUAAAAUAUAAAUAGCUAGUUAGAGUUUGAUUGUUAUUAUCUAUUAAGGUACCCUAUUCUAGCAAAAUUCUCUAGCACCGAAGAGGUAUUGUUUAGAAGAUUUACUAGUAAUCAUUGGAUUUGUGAAUUCAAAAUCUAUCAAGCAAUAGGAAGACACAGAACUAACUAAAAGAACUUGACUACAAAGUUGUAGUUGACAAUUAUUUUUUCCCCAAAUAUUAUGAGAUCUCUAAGUAUUUUUUUGAGAUUUACAUUGGCCUUUGAAAAAAUGAAAUUAUCAUGAAAUCAUAUUUAAGACCAUUCAAGUAAGUAUGAUUGAGCUUGUUGGGGUGAAUAAUAAUAUUAAAUGAUGUACUUUGAGUUUAUUGUAUGAUGAAACUCUUUUGAGCGGAAGAAACCAAUUUUGCACAAGUGUUUGAAAUUAUUUUUUAUUUUUAUUUUUGUCAUUUUUCAUUUGUGUGUUAUUGGUUGAGCUUGCUAGGGUUUUCUAAGUAUAAAUAUACCUUAUUUUGUCAAAUGUUUUAAAUACAUAUUAGAACAAUCAUUAUUUCCUAUGCAUUUCCAUUUUUUUUUUGAUAAGUAAAAGAAGUAUAUUAAACGAAAAGAGGAAACACAAAAAAUCGGUGCCCUCUAAGUAUACAGGGAGUAUACACACCACCUUUCCUAACUAGGAGCCUAUCCAGUCUAUAAAACUUACAAGAGAAGAAUGACUCUCUGCUAGGGAACCCCUGACCCAAUACCAAAGAUUACAUACAAAAGAAUAUUUCAACCUCUGAAGCGAAAGGUCCUCAUCCCCAAACGCUAACCUAUUUCUCUCCUUCCAAACUGUCCAAAAAAUACAUAACGGCGCCAUUUGCCAAGCCUUCUUGCGUCUUUUUCCCACAAACCCUCCAUUCCACUCAAGAAGGGUUGCCUUCACUGAACACGAGAGAGUCCAAGAUAUACCAAAAAGAGAGAAAAGAAGGUUCCAUAGGACCCGUGUCUUGAUACAAUGCAGUAGGAGGUGAUCCACUGUUUCUUCUUCAGAUAAACAGAGGAAGCACCUAUUUGCCAAAGAGAACCCCCUCCUUUGAAGUUGCUCCUGAGUUAAAACUUUGCCCCAAGAAGCCUCCCAAGCAAAGAAAGCUACCUUGGGAGGCACUCUUGCCCUCCAAAUUCUAUCACUAGGAAACAAAGAAAGACCCCCCGGUUCCAUCAUAGAAUAAAGGGAUCUAACUGAGAAGACCCCAUCCUUUGAAGCUGUCCAUAUCACUCUAUCUUCCUCCUCCCUUUGAACCCUGAAAGCUUGGAUCUUCUGCAACAACCGUUCCAACAAAAUAAUCUCCCAAUCGUUAAACGCCCUUGCAAAGAGAGGAGUCCAGCCAAUCCCAUCACCAACCGGAUUCCACACAUCCGAAACCCAAGCAUUCUUUGACAUGGAUAUGGAAAAAAGAGAAGGGAAAGACUCACAAAGAGGCCCAUCUCCACACCACUUGUCUUUCCAAAAUUUCACUCUUUGCCCAUUACCCAAAUGAAAGGCUACCCUGCCGUCAAAAAGCCCCCACUUCUUCCUAAUUGCUUUCCAAAGCCCAACUCCAUUUCUUCCCAACACAUCCCGAGUACUCCACCCCCUUCCUCUACGCCAUACUUUAGACUAAUUACACUCCUCCACAAUGCAUCUCUCUCAUUAGCAAACCUGCAAUUCCACUUACACAAUAGGGCGUUAUUCAUCAAAGAUAAAUUUCUCACCCCUAGACCACCUUUUCUUUUCUCCAAACAUAUCAAGUUCCAUCUUACAAGGUGAGGUUUAUAGGCUAAAGUUCCCCCACCCCACAGAAAAUCCCUCUAAAUUUUCUCCAGUCUCAUCCUUACUUUUCUAGGCAAGUGAAAUAGAGACAUCAAAUAAAUAGGCAUGCUGGACAUAGUGCUUCUGAUUAGGGUGAGUCUACCCCCUUUAGAUAUGUACUGCUCUUCCACAUAGCAAGCCUUCUACGAAAACGCUCUUCAACCCCAUUCCACACCGCCAAAGAAUUGAAAGCUGCCCCAAGGGGCAUUCCCAAAUAACUAGAGGGAAAACCUCCCACUUUACACCCCAACUCCAAAGCCAAACCCUCUAUAUUCAGCACCCUUCCAACCGGGAUUAUCUCACUCUUCUCUAAAUUAAUCCUCAACCCCGAACAGGCCUCAAACCACAUGAGGAGCCAACUUAGAUAUGUCAUCUCGUCUGGAGAGUCCUCACAAAAGACUAACGUAUCAUCCGCAAACAACAAAUGCGAUAUAUGCAUCCCCUCACCCCUCCCACCACUCACUUUCCACCCAGCUAAGUAACCCCCACUAAUCGCCCUUCUCAUCAUACUACUAAAAACCUCCAUGGCAAUCACAAACAAAUAAGGGGAAAGGGGAUCUCCUUGUCUUAGCCCCCUCGUGCUUUGGAAAAAACCGGAUGGAGACCCAUUGACUAACAAGGAAAAUUUCACUGUGGAAAUGCACCAAUCAAUCCACUUUAUCCAUCUCUCUCCAAACCCCAUCUCUUUAAGAACGGCCAACAAAAAACUCCAGCUAACAUGGUCAUAAGCCUUCUCUAUAUCCAACUUGCAUAACACCCCUCCCACAUUGUCUUUCAACCUUGAGUCCACAGCCUCGUUUGCAAUCAGCACUGCAUCCAAAAUCUGUCUACCCUCCACAAAGGCAUUUUGAGACUCUGAAAUCACUUUCCCCAUAACCUUUUUAAUUCUGUUGGCCAACACCUUGGCCAGCAACUUGUAGAGGCUACCUACAAGGUUGAUGGGCCUGAAGUCUUUCAAGUCUUCAGCUCCUCCCCUCUUUGGGACUAGUACAAGGAAAGUUGCAUUAAGAGAUUUUACAAAUCUACCCCUCUCAUGAAAUUCCUUGAAGAAUCCCAUUAUUUCAGCCUUUACUAAAUCCCAACUGAACGACCAGAAGGCCAUGGUGAAGCCAUCCGGGCCGGGGGCCUUAUCCUUGCCUAGAUCUGAAAGUGCCACGAACACCUCCCCUUCCGAAAAGGGAAUUUCCAGCCCCUCAGCCUCACAGUUGUUUAAUCUCAAGAAGGGCAACCCCUCAAUACCAGGACGCCAUCCUCCUUCUUCAGAGUACAGAUUAUUAAAAGCACCCACCACACUAUUUUUUAAUUCUAACUCCUCCGUAUGCCAACAAUCAUCCACUUUCAGCCUUGACAACCAGUUUCUUCUACUAUGCGCGUUCGCCAUCCUAUGAAAAAAUUUGGUAUUAUUGUCCCCCUCCUUCAACCACAAUUCCCUUGAUCUCUGUCUCCAAGAAAUUUCUUCCCUCAGCACCCAUGUCUUAUAAGCCUCCUGAGCCUCCUUCCUUGCUUCACAAUCCUCCAGACUCAGAGUUGAAUGAUUCUCCACUGUAUCCCAGUACACCACCUGGCUGAGAGCUUCUCUCUUCUUAGUCUCAAUUACCCCAAAAACUUCUUUGUUCCAAGUCUUUAAUAGCCCUUUUAAGGCUUUUAAUUUUGCAUCCAGGACAAAACUAAGAGACCCAGUAAAAGAUAAACUGCCCCACCAGCUCUUCAACUGAUCCAUGAAUCCCCUUUCCUCCAACCACAUAUUCUCAAAUCUGAAUGGUGACGGGCCCCUCUUCAAACCUCCAUCCUCAAGAAGAAUAGGAGAAUGAUCAGAGACUGGUCUAGCAAGAAUCCCCUGCAUGGCUCCAUUGAACAUUCUGUCCCACUCAUCCGUAACCAAGAACCUGUCAAGCCUAGAUUGAGACUGGUUGUUUAACCCCCCUCGCCAAGUAAAGAGACCCCCCUGUAAGGGGUAGUCCCUUAGCUCCAAAUCCUCUACCACUUCAGUAAAUCUUUUCAUUGAAGCAGAUAACUCACCUCCCCUGCUACGCUCUUCCGGGUAUCUAAUCAUAUUAAAGUCUCCCCCCACACACCAAGGGUCUCUCCAUAACCCUUUUAUUGAUCCAAGCUCCUCCCAAAAAACCUCUCUAUCCCUUCUACACACCGGCCCAUAAACACCAGUGAAGACCCACCUCAUCCCAUCCAUACAAUUCUUGAACAGACAUGACACUGAAAAAAUCCCUUCUUCCACCUCCAACAAAUCAACCACUCUGUUGUCCCAAAACACCAGAACACCUCCAGCUGCCCCCUUAGAGUUAAUUGCUCUCCAGUCAAUAUGUCUUCCCACCCCAAGGCUACGAACAAUCCCCGUACUCAUGUCCUUGAUUUUUGUCUCCUGCAAACACACCACGUCCACCUUGUUGGAUUUUAUUACAGACUUAAUGAUUUUCCUCUUCUCAUUAUCAUUUGCCCCUCUAACAUUCCAAGAUAAGAUCUUUAUCUUCAUUUAAUCCCUGAUCCUGAAUCCCCUCCAAAUUUGCCUUCAUUGGAAGCCAGCUUGGCUCUUUUAUAGCUUACUGUCCAUUCCAGCUUCUUUAAUUCCCUAAUGGAUUUUGUGACAGAAGACUUUGUCUUUUUAUUCUCCCUACCCUGAUUUUUCUUUUCAAUUCUCCCCUUCAUUCUUCUCAACAGGUAUAGAAUCUCCUCCUCAAACCCAACUGUCGGCAUGCCCAAGCAGUGACUGAAUUUCGCAAGGCAGCUGGAGCUCCAUACUUCCUCUUCGUCCCCCACUUCCACCUGAAGGGCCAUCGUCUCCACUAAUGGGCUUUCUAAAACCCCUCCAAAAGGAACAAUGGCUAAAUCAGUCCCAUUUGCCUCAUCACCCGACGCUCGCGGAGACAUGUUUCCAUCUUCGUGAACCGAGAGGUCCCUGUUCCUUUCUUCUUCCACGGCCCCAAACAAACCACUGAUCACUCCCACUUUCCCCACCGCAGCGCCAUCCGACCCUAAGAAAGGAGAAGAAGGAGAAAAAGCCCCACACCCCAAAGAGAAAUUAGGGGAUUUUAGUUUACGGGGGUACCUGGAAGCCUCGUUCAACAGCGCGUCGUCAGCGGGCUUCCGAUGGCCGAGGGAAGGCUCCAUGCCGCCGACGCAACUCGCGACCAACAUCUCCUGCUCCAGCUCCGUAAGGAUCCCGACAGACUCGGGGUGAGCCCUAUAAGGGACGGGCUCCCUUAAAAGGUCCAAAUGGGCCUCAGGAUUAAAAAGCCCAGAAAGCUCCUCAAUCCCCUUAGUCCAACCCGUCAAUUUGGGGCAGAGAGGGGGCGGGCCUUCGGCCCAACCCAUACCUUCCUUAGAAAACAGCCCUCCAUCCCCUUUUAAAAAAGCCCCACUGCCAGUCUUGGGCCCAGGCCCACUCCCUGAGCAGCCCACUGCAGAGUCAACAAACUCCCUGCCCCAUUCUUUGCCAUCCAUCCUGCUUGUUCUGCCACACGCCACCUUCACUUCAGUCUCCCUUUUUUGAAAAUCUGCUUUGGGCUCCCGUACUCUAGAUUCAGCGCGUGAGGCUCCCCCACCUUCAUCCCUAACCUCCCACUCACUUCUUCUCUGCAUCCGCAAGCAUGACCCAUCCUGCAACACCCUCGGAAUGGCUUCCCACCACAAGCAAAGUUCCCACCUAGUGUUACCAGCCUCCACCUCCAUUGUUCCAGGCCUUUUCAUUCCCGAAUUUUUAACCAAAAUCCGAGCCCACUGCAGCUAAGAGAAGAGGGUCGUGUCCUCAUCCACAGCUACAAACCCUCCACAGCAGUCUCCAAUGCUCUUGAAGACCUCCCUACUCCACAGAUGAAGAGGAAGGCCUACAACUCUUACCCACACUUCCUGGCUCUCUUUCCAAGUGCACCCCACUACCGGUCCCCACCUUUGCAAUAGAAACUCUCUGUCCUUAAUACGUCUGCUCCCUCUAAGAAGCACCAUAUCAGCUUCCCAUUUGUUUUGAAACACAAACAACACCAGGGCCCCACCCAACCUGAAUAUUCUUAUCUCCCCUUUCAGUAACCAAACCUCAUACGCCCAUCUCUUCAAAGAAGGCAAUGACGGGAUAGACUCAGAACUACCACCGAAACAACCCACCAGGCAAUGCCCAAGCUGUUCCUCCCUAUACAUUAUUGCCUUUUCCCCUAGGUUCACCCUCAUAGACUCCACUGGCAUACCUUUCUUCCCUUUAACUACUUCUGCAUACGAACCUGACCCUUUCUCUGAGGUAUUGGCAUUGCUCUCCUCCUUACCCAUGGACGGCACACUCUGGAAGCUAAUCCUCCCUUCUGUGGAAGAGACCCCAAGAGCCCUCAAAUUCUUAGCCAGCAAGAACCAUCCCCCUACUAAGCCACUUCCCUCAGGAAAAACUAGACAGAACUUUUUCCUUUUCGCAUCUCUGACCGAGCAGAGCAAAAAUCUCCCAGCCGCAUUAGAACGACAUUCUAGACUGAAUUUUCUUGCUCCUUCAUCCCAAACUUUUAAAAGCUUCGAGGUAGACUCUCCUCUGCACCAAGCUUCCACACCUUCCAACAGAAGGCUUAAGCCUUUUUCUCCAAAUCUUAUCCAGGAGGAGAGACCUUUGCUCCUUUCCCAGAUGGUUCCUCUUAGCCUUCCUCUGAUCUCUUCAAUGGAUAUUUUGAAAGACUUGGAUUCAACGGCAAACCAACUCUUACCUCCCUUCGGAAACCCAUGGGAGUCCCUCACUCCCAUGCUGAUGAAUUUUCUCUCACACUCAUAAAGAAAAGGGCAAAACACAACAAGACGAAAAACCCUAGGCUUCUUCCAUCACUCUCAAGAACCUCAUUGUUGACAUAAAUUUGUUUAUGGUGGUUAAUUACAUCCCAUCAAGGUAUUGAGAAGUUUACGAAGGAGUGUAAUGUGUUGUGCAUGGAUGUGAAGACAUGUGAAAGUGUCAACUGUGUCAGACACAGACCUAGGAAAACAGAACUUCUGUUUCAUGUAAACUUAUGGUUUUAUAUUUGUAGAGUUUUUAGUAGAAUUUAUGGGUGAUAUAUUUGUAGAGCUUUUGGUAAACUCUGUCGGUGAUUUUCUAUGUCUAAUACAUGUCUUUUGUGUGGUUAGAAUUCAUGUUAAUAUCUAAAUAUUUCAUAUUAAUCGAAGAAAAUAUUAUUUGUGAAAAAUUGAACUUUAAGACGUAAAAUAAUUAUUACCUUUUCACCCUUCAUAAAUUUCAGGAAUCAAGAUUCAUACUUUCAAUUGGUAUCAAAGCAUAUUGAAUCUAAAAAAUUAAAAUCUUUAAUCCCUACAUAACAUAGAUUCAUGGAACCACAAUGAGCAGAUCAUCUAUGAAAUUUUUAUCAUAGCUGUUGAAGGCUGCGUUACCAAGACCACUUCAAUUUCCUGAUGUACUCGCCUCUUCAACUGAAGAUGAUGCUUCCUUCUUUUGACCUACAAAAGAUGUUCGGACAGGAGGUCCGGACACACCCUCCGAUACUUUUAUUAGUUUUGCUCUCUAGCAUAUUGAUAUUUUUUAUGGGGCCCUUCUCCUUAGGAAUCCCUUCCCUUCUUUGACUGUGUGGGGGCCUUUUAUAGUGCUAGGAGUUUUGUCUCUUUAAAUGGUGGGAAGACUUUUUGGCUGUCAUGAUGGUGCUUAGAGGGUGACAGAGCCAUCAUUAUCCUGCAGGCGGCUGUCAGAGAUUGCUGGAUGGAUGAGUUGCCGUCAUCCUUGUCUUUUCACUCUGUAGGCGGCGCAGGGUAGGUCGUGGCAGGUCGCCUGAAGUGACCCAGGAAGGUCAUGUUGAGCAUGCUUUUGGUAAAAUGAGUAAUGAUUGCCCGCAAGACACAGUCAAGAAUCUUGUUUGAGACGUUAGCCACUGGGUUCGGAUUGGACAUCCGGACAGGGGGGUAUGCAUCGCAUGUCAGUCCACGUGAUAGUCCGGACAGAGGGUUGGAUGUGCCAUGUGUCAGUCCAUGUGAACAUCUGGACAGGGGGUUGGAGUGCCACGUGUCCAAUGGAGGAGUGCCUUGUGAGGCCACCACGUGUACGCUUAGGGGUGGUCCCUACAAUAGCUUGUCUCAAUAAUCUCAACACCUAAUUUUCAUGUUUCUUUAAUGAAGUCUAGAAUAUAAUUUCUGUCAGUAGGAAUACAGUUUGAGUAGGUUGGGUCGGGUUGAUGGCGAUUUAACACAUUUGGAUAUAGUAGCAACGGGAAACAUCUUCAUUGUUUCAUUACUUCAACAAAGGUUUGGAAAUUCUUGUAAGAAGAUCCACCUUCACUCACACUCUUUCUAGUCAUUUCCUUCAACUUCUCUGCAUUUGCUUUUAUAACAUCAUCAGAAACCAACAUUUCGAUCUUCUUCUUAAUCUCAUGCCUUGAUAUGAAUCCAUUUUCAUCUGGGUUCAACCCCAAGCCCACCUUCCACUUGUCGCAUAUGUAACUCUGGUUAUGGAAUUGAUCUACAACGUAGGGCCAGCAUAGGAAGGGGACUCCCAUGCCUAUGCCGUCCAUGGUUGAGUUCCAUCCACAAUGGGAUAAGAAACAUGCAACAGAAGGGUGAGCUAAAACUUUUUCUUGGGGUGCCCAUGAAACAAUCUUUCCAUUCUCAGCAACUCUCUCUAUGAAACCAUCAGGGUAUUCAGCAUCUGAUCCAUUGGUGAAGUCUGAUCGGACAACCCAUAAAAAUGGCCGGCCUACAAGUUCAAUACCCAGUGCUAGUUCAUUGAAUUGGUGCUGGCUUAAGAUCGCUAGGCUUCCAAAGGCAACAUAAAUGACUGAGCCAGCAGGUUGUUUAUCGAGCCAGCUUAUGCAAGUUGAAUCCUCAGGCCAAAAGUUUCCAGGAUAAUGACCCAGAUGGUUAUUUGCAAUUAACGGGCCUAUUGGUAAUAUGUUGGGAAUCAAGUCACAAGCAGAUGAGUCAAGUUCGUAAACGGAGUUGCAAAUAAGCCAAUUGGAAAGAUUAAUAGCUGAGAUGUCUUUGAAAGCAAGUCGGAAAAUGACCUCUUGUAAGGUUGGAUCACUCGGGCAGCUCCACGGCAAUCUGUUGCUGCUAAAGGCUGGUAUAUCCUUUGCCAGGCAGAUCAACUCGUCGUUCAAAAGAGAUCCUGCAAAGAUAUUACAAUUAUUAAUUUCCAUCAAAACCAAGAAAAUACUUAGCUACUUCCCCCGAUUUUUAUUGAAUUUUCAGGGGCUAUUAGCUUUAGUCUCUUAACUUGUUUUCAAUUACUAGAAAUCUUCAUGUUUCAUCAAUUAGGUAUAAACAACAGAUUUAACUUUAGAAAUAUGAUAUGUGCAAGUUUAAGUGUUAAUACCAUCAGUACUAUUUAGAAGUCCGGCCUCAAUAAGCCUUGGAAUGUGAAAUGCCAAAGCCAAGCUUCCUGGUCCAAAGGGGCAAAACGCGACCCUCUUGAUCCCCAUCUUGUCGGCAACCUCUAGCGCCCACCCAAAUGCUGAAUCAGCAAUAACACAAGUGAUCUUCUCAUCAUCAUUCGAGUUGUUAACCUUCUCCAUAAACUCCUUCAAAUGACCCGGCAUGACUCUAAAAAUACUGUCUGUCAACUUGAGCGAAUCUUUUCGAUCCUCCCCCGGACCCAGUCCAUCUGGGAUCGAGGCUAGCCCUAUCCGACUCCGAGCCUCAUCCUCAUCUGGCAGUGCAGCCACCAGUUUUUCAUGUAUGAAGUCUGAGUUAACAAAGGUGACCUUGAUCCCAUGAUCAGAAAUCUGGUACGCAAACUUCAUAAGGGGAGCAACAUGUCCUUGUGCUGGGAAUGGAAUAAUCAGCACAUGAG
rnacentral:lncRNA from 1 species